AAUAAAAUUUUUAUGUUUUUUAUAAUUUAUUAUAAAUUUAUUUUACAUGUAAAUUUUAGUAUAUAAUUUUGAUUAUUUUAAUAAUAAUUAAUUUAAUUAUACAGUAAUUAAAAUUAAAAAUUUAAGAAAUUAAGAUUUAGUAAUAUAUAAAUUAAUAACUAAUUUUGUGCCAGCAGUUGCGGUUAAACAAAAUUUAAAUUAAAUUAUUUCAGUAUAUAAUAAAUAAUAGAUAAUUAAAUUAAAUAUUAAAUUAUUAAGUGAAAUUUUAAUUUAAUUUAAAAUUAUAUUAAAAUUAUGAUUUAAUAAAUUUUAUUUUAAACUAGGAUUAGAUACCCUAUUAUUAGAAAUUUAAUUAAAAAUACUAAAAUAGUAAAUAAAAUAUAUUGAAACUUAAAUAAUAUGGCGGUAUUUUAGUUCAUUUAGAGGAAUCUGUCUAAUAAUUGAUAAUCCACGAAUAAAUUUACUUAAUUUAUAAUUUUGUAUAUCAUUGUUAAAAAAAUAUUUAUAAAUAAAAAUAAUAUUUAAAAAUUUAAAAUAAAAUUUAAUUCAAAUCAAGAUGCAGAUUAUAAUUAAGUUUAAGAUGGAUUACAAUAAAUUUAUUUAAAUGAAAAGAAUUUUGUAAUAUUUAAUUGAAGGUGGAUUUAAAUGUAAUUUUAAUUAAUUUAUUAAAAUGAUUAAAAAUUAGGAUAUGUACAUAUUGCCCGUCACUUUCAUUUAAAAAUUGAAAUAAGUCGUAACAAAGUAGAGGUACUGGAAAGUGUUUCUAGAAUGAA
rnacentral:ncRNA from 1 species